GAUGAACGCUGGCGGCGUGCCUAAUACAUGCAAGUCGAGCGAAUGGAUUGAGAGCUUGCUCUUAUGAAGUUAGCGGCGGACGGGUGAGUAACACGUGGGUAACCUGCCCAUAAGACUGGGAUAACUCCGGGAAACCGGGGCUAAUACCGGAUAACAUUUUGAACCGCAUGGUUCGAAAUUGAAAGGCGGCUUCGGCCGUCACUUAUGGAUGGACCCGCGUCGCAUUAGCUAGUUGGUGAGGUAACGGCUCACCAAGGCAACGAUGCGUAGCCGACCUGGGAGGGUGAUCGGCCACACUGGGACUGAGACACGGCCCAGACUCCUACGGGAGGCAGCAGUAGGGAAGCUUCCGCAAUGGACGAAAGUCUGACGGAGCAACGCCGCGUGAGUGAUGAAGGCUUUCGGGUCGUAAAGCUCUGUUGUUAGGGAAGAACAAGUGCUAGUUGAAUAAGCUGACACCUUGACGGUACCUAACCAGAAAGCCACGGCUAACUACGUGCCAGCCGCCGCCGUAA
rnacentral:rRNA from 1 species